UUUCCAGAGAUGGACUGGUGCCUUCGGGAACUGUGAGACAGGUGCUGCAUGGCUGUCGUCAGCUCGUGUUGUGAAAUGUUGGGUUAAGUCCCGCAACGAGCGCAACCCUUAUCCUUUGUUGCCAGCGAUUAGGUCGGGAACUCAAAGGAGACUGCCAGUGAUAAACUGGAGGAAGGUGGGGAUGACGUCAAGUCAUCAUGGCCCUUACGACCAGGGCUACACACGUGCUACAAUGGCGCAUACAAAGAGAAGCGACCU
rnacentral:rRNA from 3 species